UCCUGGAGAGAAGAGCACCCACCCCCAUGGCCACAGAGACCUUGCUUCUGGGGCUGACAAGCUCCGCGUCCGGAAGUGUGGGGCCAGCUGUCUCCCCACCCCACAGGCUGCUGUGCGAAGUCUGCACAGCGUGGAGCCCUGCCUGCCUCCGUCCACACGUCUCGUCCACCCCAGCUCUCACUUCCUAUCGGUUCACACUCUGCCUCCAGGGAAAAGGUGCUGCGGGAGGGCGGGCAGGCGGGCGGGGGGACACCAGGUGCUGUAACAGCUGGCGGGGGGUGAGGGGGGUCGGAGGAGGGCCACGUGAGUCAUGUCUGAGGGUCCAGGAGAAGCCGGCGAGUACACGCGAGUUCCAGAACAGAGCAGCAGAGUUCCCAGAACAGCCUGCGUGGUUAAACCCUCCUGACGCUCCAAGUCUCCUUUGCGUCUCAUUUCCUUUCUGCACAGAGAACUCCCUUCAGCCAUUCAGGGGAGGUCACCUCACAGGGAGUGUCCACUGCACUGUACACGUGAAGCUGAAGUAGAAUAAUGUAACGUGGAAUUUCACUCUGGCCAUUUUCAAGGUGGUGGUGUCUUGUUCACUCAGCUUCAUGAACCUUUAGAUUUAUGGAUUCUGUCCAUUUGUGGAAUUUUCAGCCAUUUGUUAAGUAGUUUUUCACCCCCGCCCUUUUCGCUGUCCUCUGGGACUUGUGACCCAACAGUCAGAACCUGUUAGUCGGCAGGUUCCUGAGGCUUUGCCCACCUGCUUCUAUCGUGCGCUCCCAGAGGCUCCGAUUGCAUAAUCCCUGCUUGACGGUCACCACCCUCCCCAUCUCCUGGGUCUUCAUCUCACCCUUUGCAUGUUUUUACUGCUGACACGUCCAUUUGGCUCCUCUUGAUCUCACAUUCCUUGCUGAGAAUUUUGAUUUCUUUUCGGAGGCCGAGGAGGGUCCUGAACACACAGGAGACAUGACCCAACUGACGCUGUCAACAGGCCCGUCUGGCUGCCACAUGGAGAAGACACCCGGGGGGACAGGUCGGGUUGCGGGGGGAGCGGGCGGGGGCGCGCAGAGUUGUCAGGACGUGCCUGCCGGCGUCCAGAUGAACAAAUGCACACUCCAUCAUUCAUUCACUCCCUGCGCCACCCAUUCUCCGCAGGGUGUCACCCCAUUCUGCAGUGUCAUGCAGGGUGGCUUGUCACACACUUCCCGAUUCUAGGUGCCGUGUCCUCACACACACACACACACACACACACACACACACACCCCAUUCGCCCGCAGCGCCUUCCCUUCUCUCCUGGCCCCAAGUAGGGGUGCAUCUCACGCGGGGCCACGCAUGUGGCCGACGGCAAGUGUUUGCUGCAGUGGCCACUGGUCGUCAGCCAUGGAUGCCGAAUUCCACGGCGUCUGAGAGCGUCUGGGCAUCACGGCCACUCGUGUAACCGAACUGUGCUCCCUGAGGACACAGACGGCUUCCAUGUCCUUGGCACCUGCAGAAUGCCAGGCACAAAAAUAAACAGUGGCUACGUGGGAGGCUCACAUCCCGGGAAGCUGGGUGACGGGUACCUGGGGACUCUAACGCUCUGUUGUAUCCUGCAAAUCUAAAAUUAUUUCAAAUAAAAAUUAACAAUUCUGGCGGGCAAAAAGUAAACAAUGUGGGUUCCCACA